CUUCACAAGAUCCGUGAGUCAUUCAAGAGAACAUGUUUGGCUCCUCCCACUUUGCGAGGUAAAAAACCUCAUCUCACGAGAUCAAUAAAGGGAGCUGCCAUGGGCCUUCUCUUUGAAGAUGUUCACCAUGUGACGAUUGAUUCCACAAACUUUGCCACUGUCCUCUGACAGCAGACAUGACACUGUGCUGGACAUCUCUAUGCGAUUUCAAAAAUCAGCUGAGAAUAUCUAGAAGCAGUGGAUAUCAAACUCAGUCCUGGGAACUCCCAAGUGGUUGCAAACUUUUGCUCCAACCAACUUCACUUUUUAAUUGGACUUCUAACUUAAUUUAAUGAAUGUGGAGCAGACUAAGCAGACACCAGACCCAAAUGCAGCCCACCACUUCUUGAAAUGAAGAACAGGACACAAGCAAGGUUAUUGGUGAACCAGCUGUGUUUACAAGGGCAGUAACUGCAUCCAUGUUGAGCAGGUGUUUAGUCAUGGAGGGGUCUGAUCAGCGAGGACGAUGAGACAACCUACAGGGAGGAG